CUCAGGACGAACGCUGGCGGCGUGCCUAACACAUGCAAGUCGAGCGAGGAGAUCCUUCGGGAUGAUCCUAGCGGCGGACGGGUGAGUAACACGUGGGCAACCUGCCUCAUAGAGAGGAAUAGCCUUCCGAAAGGGAGAUUAAUACCUCAUAACAUUGCAGUUUCGCAUGGAACAGCAAUUAAAGGAGUAAUCCGCUAUGAGAUGGGCCCGCGGCGCAUUAGCUAGUUGGUGAGGUAACGGCUCACCAAGGCGACGAUGCGUAGCCGACCUGAGAGGGUGAUCGGCCACAUUGGGACUGAGACACGGCCCAGACUCCUACGGGAGGCAGCAGUGGGGAAUAUUGCACAAUGGGGGAAACCCUGAUGCAAGCAACGCCGCGUGAGUGAUGACGGCCUUCGGGUUGUAAAGCUCUGUCUUCAGGGACGAUAAUGACGGUACCUGAGGAGGAAGCCACGGCUAACUACGUGCCAGCCGCAGC
rnacentral:rRNA from 1 species